CUCUCAGCUACCUCUCCAGCACCAUGUGUGCCUGCAUGCUGCCGUAUUUCCCACCAUGGCAGUAAUGGACUAAACCUCUGAACUCUAAGUCCACCCCAGUUCCAUGUUUUCCUUUAUAAGAGUUGCUGUAGUCAUGGUGUCUCUUCAGGCAAUAGAAACUCAAGCUGAGAAACUACCCAUAUGUACACUUUCAGGACUGAGCAUUUGGCACUGGACAAAAUUGGUGUGCUAUUUCCUGGGGAGGACCACCACUCCUGUCCCAGCUUUCCUCAGUUGCCUGUAGUUCUUUGAAUAGGGUUGAGGCCUUAUGCAGUCUUUUUCAGUCCAGCUUGGCAUGUUCGUUGGUGUCAUCCUUAUUCAGCUCAUUUUGGGUGACCACAUUGGUGAAAGUAGGUAAAAUGUAAGAGCAGACAGAACAUUGGAAGGGGACGGCUACUGCCCAGCACUAGGUGAGAGUUGCCAUUUGGAAGGAUAGGCCUUGAUUGCUAGAAAUUUCCAUUUUUAGGAGAAAUGGUAAAUCUUUUUUAAAAUGUGAAAUGUCCCAGUUUCAAAUAUUGGCAACUAGUUUUGAAAAAUACUGUGAAGGCCAAACAAAGCAAAUUUUCCACAAGCUGCCAGUUUGCAACCUCUAGGACAGAAAGGUUUAUAUCCAGACUUUCUCAGAUGCAAAGCGAAGGGGGGGGGGCUUUUAAAAUAAAAGUGACUAUCUUCAUGUCUUCCUUCCUAGGCUGGGAAAGACAUCACUGCAGCAAUUUGAUCAGGUAACAGGGCUCCUGGAAAGCCAAGAACCCAGCAGUUUCAUUUGGUACUCAAAAUGAAACCUAAUUUACCGUCACAUUUCUGUCAUUUUCAAGAUCGUUUUGGAGUCUUUUGAAGUCUCUUUGGUCUUUAUGAAAAACAACAGGGAUGUUGUAAUGUUCCAGCUAGCUUUGCCUUUCCAGAAUUUUCAGGUGAGCUUUCUUGUUGAAUGUGUGCUUUGUAUGUUUUCAGAGACCUCUUCACACCAGUCACUGUGCUUUCAGACUUUCCAGUAAUGUGCUCAGCAGUCCUGAGUGGGAACUAGCAGAAGGCUGGAGGUGAACAAACGGAGCUUUCAUCUGGUCCCAGGGAUCUAAGUAUAUAAAGACCACUGAAAAUGCUGUAUAGGAGGUAAGUAGUCACAUACAGUACUACCAUUCUCAAAUGUCAGCUUCGUUGCAAUUUAGAUGAUAUUGGAAUGAGAUGACCACAUGACAUGGUAAAACAUCUUUCUUAUGAAGAGUUAGUUUCCAUGUACUAGUGAAGGGUCUUGGCCAUGAAAUAAGUCCUAUUGAGUAGAUGUACUUAGCAAAUAUGUGAACAAUGGCACCAGAGUAGUUUUUGCUCUUGAGAUGGAACCCAGGGUCCUGUUCAUGCUAGGCAAGUGAUCUUCCAUUGAGCUAUGUUCUAACCUGAUAGAGUGACCUUGUGAUCACAUAAAAUUAGCUUAGAAACUCUUCUGACUUCCUGUGGAGAAUACAUUACAAAACUCUCAUGUACCCUGGACCAGAGAUGGAACAAUAUUGCUGUCUUAUAGGAGAUAUUAUUUGUGCUCGCAACAUAUUUGUGAUAUCAAGUCGAGCAUGUAGAUUUUUCUAGAAGAAACUAUGUGUCUCUUUGACCAAAGAGGCCAAGAACUAA